UCUAAGCCUGGCUAUAUGUUUUUCGCGGAAAGGUAUUGGAUAAACUUGCGAUCGAUGGUUGAAAGGUAAUCUCCCAGAAAAUCUAACGUAUUUUCACUUUACUUUCGAAUUGUUCAUCGCACCCGGAUCGAAAUUGUUUUUUGAGCACCCGCAAUGCCGAGACGCCGAAACCGCUCACCGAGAGUGCGACCCGGACCAGACCCUGCAGGGGACGCCAUUGGAAAUGUCGAAGCAGUCGUGCCUGAUGGCGCCCCUGAGUGCGACUGCGAAGACUGCAGGAUGUCUGUACCUGGCCCAGAACCCUCGAAAUUGACAGCUCAGAAGACCAAGGGUUGGAUCUCGGGCAGACAAUGGCCCUUCAUGGGGGACGAGUCCAAUGGUCGAGUCUACCAGGGAUCAUCCCUCGGCAGCAAGUUCUGGCUGGGCCUAUCACAGCUGCAGUACGGUCUGGCCCAACAUCCCAUAAUGACGGCCAUGGCCGGGAUUCUGUUCGUCAGAGUCCUGCUUCAUGUUGCCGGCUUCAAUCUGUGUGUUCUAAAAAUUCCGUGAGAGUAAUGGAAAUUAGACAACAGAGGAAAUAUAUUAAUAUUUUCUAGAAAUAAGCUCAGUAAACAAAUGCUCCUCAGCACCGAAUGAAACGUCAGCGUCCGUGAUGUUCUGUGCGGUUAUGUUGUGACCAAAAUGCAUGUAAAUUUGAUUACGAGUCUUUCCAAAUGUCUUUAGCUGAAAUACAUCCUACUUUUACGAG